rnacentral:rRNA from 1 species
CAGGCCUAACACAUGCAAGUCGAACGAAGCCUUCGGGCUUAGUGGCGCACGGGUGCGUAACGCGUGGGAAUCUGCCCUUGGGUUCGGAAUAACCAGGAGAAAUUCUGGCUAAUACCGGAUGAUGACGUAAGUCCAAAGAUUUAUCGCCCAGGGAUGAGCCCGCGUAGGAUUAGCUAGUUGGUGGGGUAAAGGCCUACCAAGGCGACGAUCCUUAGCUGGUCUGAGAGGAUGAUCAGCCACACUGGGACUGAGACACGGCCCAGACUCCUACGGGAGGCAGCAGUGGGGAAUAUUGGACAAUGGGCGAAAGCCUGAUCCAGCAAUGCCGCGUGAGUGAUGAAGGCCCUAGGGUUGUAAAGCUCUUUUACCCGGGAAGAUAAUGACUGUACCGGGAGAAUAAGCCCCGGCUAACUCCGUGCCAGCAGCCGCGGUAAU